AUGAACGCUAGCGACAGGCUUAACACAUGCAAGUCGAGGGGCAGCACAGGUAGCAAUACCGGGUGGCGACCGGCGCACGGGUGAGUAACGCGUAUGCAACUUGCCUAUCAGAGGGGGAUAACCCGGCGAAAGUCGGACUAAUACCGCAUGAAGCAGGGAUCCCGCAUGGGAAUAUUUGCUAAAGAUUCAUCGCUGAUAGAUAGGCAUGCGUUCCAUUAGGCAGUUGGCGGGGUAACGGCCCACCAAACCGACGAUGGAUAGGGGUUCUGAGAGGAAGGUCCCCCACAUUGGUACUGAGACACGGACCAAACUCCUACGGGAGGCAGCAGUGAGGAAUAUUGGUCAAUGGCCGAGAGGCUGAACCAGCCAAGUCGCGUGAGGGAUGAAGGUUCUAUGGAUCGUAAACCUCUUUUAUAAGGGAAUAAAGUGCGGGACGUGUCCCGUUUUGUAUGUACCUUAUGAAUAAGGAUCGGCUAACUCCGUGCCAGCAGCCGCGGUAAUACGGAGGAUCCGAGCGUUAUCCGGAUUUAUUGGGUUUAAAGGGUGCGUAGGCGGCCUUUUAAGUCAGCGGUGAAAGUCUGUGGCUCUACCAUAGAAUUGCCGUUGAAACUGGGGGGCUUGAGUAUGUUUGAGGCAGGCGGAAUGCGUGGUGUAGCGGUGAAAUGCAUAGAUAUCACGCAGAACCCCGAUUGCGAAGGCAGCCUGCCAAGCCAUUACUGACGCUGAUGCACGAAAGCGUGGGGAUCAAACAGGAUUAGAUACCCUGGUAGUCCACGCAGUAAACGAUGAUCACUAGCUGUUUGCGAUACACUGUAAGCGGCACAGCGAAAGCGUUAAGUGAUCCACCUGGGGAGUACGCCGGCAACGGUGAAACUCAAAGGAAUUGACGGGGGCCCGCACAAGCGGAGGAACAUGUGGUUUAAUUCGAUGAUACGCGAGGAACCUUACCCGGGUUUGAACGCAUUCGGACCGAGGUGGAAACACCUUUUCUAGCAAUAGCCGUUUGCGAGGUGCUGCAUGGUUGUCGUCAGCUCGUGCCGUGAGGUGUCGGCUUAAGUGCCAUAACGAGCGCAACCCUUGCCACUAGUUACUAACAGGUAAAGCUGAGGACUCUGGUGGGACUGCCAGCGUAAGCUGCGAGGAAGGCGGGGAUGACGUCAAAUCAGCACGGCCCUUACAUCCGGGGCGACACACGUGUUACAAUGGCGUGGACAAAGGGAAGCCACCUGGCGACAGGGAGCGAAUCCCCAAACCACGUCUCAGUUCGGAUCGGAGUCUGCAACCCGACUCCGUGAAGCUGGAUUCGCUAGUAAUCGCGCAUCAGCCAUGGCGCGGUGAAUACGUUCCCGGGCCUUGUACACACCGCCCGUCAAGCCAUGGGAGCCGGGGGUACCUGAAGUCCGUAACCGCGAGGAUCGGCCUAGGGUAAAACUGGUGACUGGGGCU
rnacentral:rRNA from 1 species